GUCACAGAAUGGCAGAGGAGGAGCAUAAUGCUAAAGAAAAACAUUACACCAUGAUUUUAAUGAAACGUGCAAAACUAGCACAGGAACUGGCAAAACUGGAUGCUCUUCUAAAAUCCCAGCCUGAAAAUACUACUGACAUGAGUUCUCAGCAUGAUAUUCAGGUACCAUUACAACUUGCAGCCUAUAAAAGGGAUAUUCAGAUGUUUGAUGAGUGGGACAGCCACUACCUUCAUCUGAUAGUUCCUUCUUGGAGGAAUUAAGGACCAGCGAAAGAUUGGAAAAAGAGCAGCAGGCAAGAGUUCCUUCUGUAUUUUCCACAUCACCAAUUCAACCUGAAAAUUGCUCUGUUGAAUACUUAAAAAAGAGGCCAUCAAGAAAAACAG